GAUGAACGCUGGCGGCGUGCUUAACACAUGCAAGUCGAACGGAAAGGCUCCUUCUUGCUGGGGUCCUCGAGUGGCGAACGGGUGAGUAACACGUGGGUGAUCUGCCCUGCACUUCGGGAUAAGCCUGGGAAACUGGGUCUAAUACCGGAUAGGACCACAUUUUGGAUGGUGUGGUGGAAAGAUUUUCGGUGUGGGAUGAGCUCGCGGCCUAUCAGCUUGUUGGUGGGGUAAUGGCCUACCAAGGCGUCGACGGGUAGCCGGCCUGAGAGGGUGUACGGCCGCAUUGGGACUGAGAGACGGCCCAGACUCCUACGGGAGGCAGCAGUGGGGAAUAUUGCACAAUGGGCGCAAGCCUGAUGCAGCGAGGCCGCGUGGGGGAUGACGGCCUUCGGGUUGUAAACUCCUGGCGCUAGGGACGAGGCGUUUUUGUGACGGUACCUGGAGAAGAAGCACCGGCUAACUACGUG
rnacentral:rRNA from 1 species